rnacentral:misc_RNA from 1 species
UCACUUCCAGGAAAGAAGAGCUAAGCGUUCCACUCCUAAGCCUAUUCCUAUUCUUCCCAUCUCGAAGGGCUAAUUCAUAGCAGGAAAGAUCAUAUGCUACGGCAUCUACUACUCUGUACUUACCCGGCAAAGUCCUUACUACUCAUACUAUGGGUCACCCUUUUCUUUUUUUCUUUCUCAUAGGGCCCUCAUCCAAGAGCGCGAAUUUCUGAUUGUCAGGGCGGCCUCCAGCAUCCG